AAGCAAUCUCAUGCAACUUAUCCCAACCAAGGAAAGCGCUUUCACUAUCUGCUGAUGAUAAGAAAUUCUGUAGUGAACCAUUUGGUAGAUAUUCAUACACGAGCUGUUGUGUACCCAUCAGCACAAAAACCAACCAAGCGAACCACAUUGACAUGGUGGACUCGACCCAUUGUUCCGACUUCAUUUAUAAAAUCUUUUCCCUUUUCAUUAGAAUUGUUGAGGAUUUUCACAGCUACAAGUAAGUCGGAGGAAAGUCGUCCUUUAAACACUGUUCCAUAGGCUCCUUGACCUAACUUUUCAUUGAACUGAUUUGUUAUCCCUUUAAUAUCAGCGUAGGAAUAUCUACUGGGCUUGUGUGCUAUGUAAUCAUCCAAAAAUCUUUCAAUCCUCAACUGAUUUGUUUUCUCUGUUCUGUUGGAGCUAUAAACACGGUAAAUGAGGGUCCCCGCAACUGUUACAACCACAGAAAGUGAGAAAAUACCUGCAGAUACAGAUGAAACUCUGUGUUAAGAACCAACCCAUUUCUAAAUUAAAUUAAAAUAAAUCACAAUUGCCUCCAACUGAUAAAGCCCCCAGAAAUCAGAAUUGAUUGUAUAUUAAUACUUAUACAUAUAUAGGGUUCUUUUGUGCGGAAGUUAACGUGUAUUUUAUCCGGAUGCUGCCAUAAAAGAAGAACCCUGUCAAGGAUGGGAUCUAAAACUUGAAAAACAAAUGAUGAAAAUUGGUGCCUGUUGAAGCAAGUUCCGACUAGCACCCUAAAAUAUAACACUGGCAUGAGGUUCAAUAAUCCAAACCGUCUUGGAUUUAGUUCUCCAUCUAAGAUUUAUGAUUAUGGAUCACACAAGUGUGCAAAAAUUAACCUAACUAUUAGCAGUUCAAAUUCAAUCUUGUAAAAAUAGUGCUUAUGUGAACAACUUACCAGAUAUCUCUAAGUUUGUCCUUCCAUGGGUACUAUCUGUAAAAGCAGGUUAAUUAAGUCAAUAAUUAGCACUUUUGUUAUCAAAAGAAUAAAAUAGUUGAAGAAUUGUUUGCAUAAAUCUUUGUUUUCAUUUAAUAUAAAAAGUUCUCAUAUAUUCUUUGAGUCCAAAUUUGUUGUAUAUAUUAUCUGCACAAACUAGCUAAUUAAAACCUUGUCAAUGUGAAAAUGAGGGAAAUAUUUUCCGGUAAAGUACUGCAACAAGUCAAGUUAAAUGGGAGAUUAAAGGAUACCUUCGCUCACGCAUUCAGUUUCUGCAGUCUGAUUAUCUGUGAAAUUGUAUUGACCAACAGUUCUCUUCAGUCUGCAAGUCUUGCCCAUCUCUUCGCAACGUCCACAUGAUGGUUUGGACCACUGCAGCAUCAUAAGGUUGAAUGCUUCCACUAAUGAAAUUUGUGGAAUUGAUGUGUAGUCACGCAGCUUGGUACAAGACACUAGGUUCAUAUCAUCAAUGGAACAGUAGCCGUUGACAGCAUAGUAGUUAGUUUGGUUUUCAGGAUUGUCAAGGCCGCAAGGGCACAGUUUGAUUAGACAAAGUCUGCCUGUUUCAAGUAAUGGUGACGUACAACUGAAUAAAGUAUAAGUAGUAUCAAACGGUCCGUGCACAAAUUGAAAGGUCGAGGAAGAUAAGUUGAAUUUGAAAAUAUCUUUAGGCAGGCAAUCAUUUUGGAAAUAUACUCCGAUUUCUUGAGAUGCGUAGUCAAUCGUUUCAACGAUGAGCUUGUUAGAUGAGGACGGCAUCUCAAGCACGGUUCGGCCGUCGGUGGUGCAUGAUAGAUCAAAGCCAUGGUAACCGCACUGGAAUGGCUGUCCUUUAAGUCGAAAUGGGAAUCGGAUGGCUGGACCGUGGUGUUCACAGUAACUUACUUCUUUGCAGUUUUCAGGGACUACUCUGUCGCCAUACACUGUGCUUACAAAUCGAGCAUCUGCUAUCAUGAGAAACCAGCACAAGAAAUUGAUCAGAAGCAUUCUAUCCAAUGAGAAUAUUGAUUGUAGAAGUUCGGUAUCUUGGUAAUUCAUAUAUAUGAUUGUAUAUAAGAUAUGGGAUUGCAGAAGUCCCCUAUGUUUUGGGUAAAUAAUAAUCUCUUUUUAUAUUCACCCCUUCGUUCCAUUUCCUACCCCCAAAACGUUUUUCUAAUUUUUUUAAAUCUUCCACCAAUUUUGUUUUUAACUUCAAUUUGAAGGACUUGGUCGUGAUUUGCUUAUGGGUUAUUGACCAUCGUUAUCAAAUAAAAACUUCUAGUCGCUUUUAUGCAACUGUUACUCGCUAUAACGUGAAAUUGGAAUGCUAGAAACUGUUUCUUCCCCAGAUGGGCCAGAUCAACCCAUUAUUGUACCUAUUAUUCCGAUUUAGAUGAUGUGGGUUCUGUGUUCGUGUGGCUUCAAUAUUGGUCAUUCAACACUGAGUAAUGCUAAGUAGAUUAAAUUUGUAGACUAAAUUUACAAACUAAAUAAUAUGUCAUCAAUAAAAAAUAAGCACGUUAAUCAACACUUAAGUAAUAAUCCAAUUAUCAACGUUUAUGUCAUUGAGUUUAUAAAAUUUAUUCCACAAAUUUAGUCUCCUAGCAUUACCCUUCUAGAAAUUGGAGUUGUUGGUAUAGUUUGUUGUGCAAAUUUGUUCUCUUUACUUUAGCGGGAGAUUUUUUAGUGUGAUCGGAACACGGGAUUGUAUACCACGUGUCACUAUACAAAUGGUGAUAUAUAUGUGUGUUAAAAAGUUAAUAACUUAAAUAUUAAAAUUUUCUACCACUUAUAUAAAAACACGUGGUGUAUCACUCGUAUUCCGGUCACAAUAAAAAUUUUCUCUACUUUAGCCUUGGUUGUUGUUGUUGGAAUUAGUAUUGAUGAGACUUGUGUUUUGCAUACGUUUUUGCAAUAACUAUGGUUGUUAUGUUGAAAAAAUUGUUUAUUAAAGUGUUUUUUUUUUCAUUUAAUAAAAGAAAAAAAAAGGUAAGUGAUUUUUACACACAAUUUUUCUUCUCCUACAUGCACACGUAUAUGUAGAUUUUUGGCCUUUAAAAAUAAAAAUAAAAAAGUGCAGAAAAAGAAAAGAGAGUGGGUGGGAAAUAUAGGGACCUUCCUCCUAAUCCACCAAAUUAGGAAAUUUGUGCCAUUAAUUUGAUCAAUGAUUACAAAUAAGGGUCCAUUUUAAAAAUUAUAAUAAUUUCAACCGUUUGAUUAAAUUUCAAUGAUUUGAAUCAUUUGAUUUGAUGGAUUGGGAAAGGAUAAUAAUUGGGUACUCCAGGGAGUACCUAAUUUACUGACCAUCUUACGUGGCCCAAUAAAUAUAAAACACCUAGCAUUUUAACUCUCUUCUAAUAUUUUUCUAUCUCUGUAACCAAACACAUUUUGUACCCGAGACCAAACACCUCUCUUCUUCUCCAUCUUCUUUCCUUGCCCAGCUCAAUCCUUCUCCUUCUCCGGCAACCAUCUCCAUGCCUUCUUACUUCACUUUUAUUGAUACCAUGGCAGAUCCACCAAAGGUUCUCCGUCUGUUAUAGGUUGACUAAUAUUUUUUUUGUCGAAAUCACUUGCUGAUUGAUGUUGCGGAGAAGUCGGAGAAGAGUAUGGAGUUCAAAUUGACGGAGGAGGGAUGGAUAGAGUGGAGGUAUGCCGUUAUGGUCGACAGUUGGAAGAGUGGGGCUAACGGUUGGAGAAGGGAGCGGAGAUGGAGUCGACGAUUGGAGCAGGGUGAUUGGAGGAAAGAUGUUGGACGGCGGCGGUUCGAAGAAGAACAGUCACGGGAGAGGAGAGCGACAGAGGGAUGAGAGAAUUGGGAGUGAGAUGUUUGGUUGUCUGAUUCAGGAUGUUUGGUUACAGGAAUAGUCUACAUAUCAAAUUGUUUUAAAUUGACACAUGUUUAUAUCUUAUUGGGCCACUUAAGAGAGUGAGGAAGUAGGGUACUCUCCGGUGAGUACGCAAGUAUUUUCCAAAGAGAAAUCAUUUUUGUAAAACAAAAAAGCAGUUGACUAACCAGCACUAGAAGGGCAACUUCCUUGACUAUUUUAAUUAAAGAUUAAUGCUUAGUUUUACUCGUCUCCUGGGUUCUUUGCUUCGUUUGUCAUAAAUAAUGGGCUCCAAGCGACCAAUUUAUAUCUGAAUUCACCCCUUUCUUGCCAUAAGCCAAAAACCCUUGCUCCAUUAAGCUUUUUUGCCCCCUUCCAUAAUUUUGAUACAUUUAUAUUCUCUUUUGCCAUGUGUAGAGGAAGUCUCUUACUAGUUGCAUAUGGAGCCCUUCUUCUACUCUCUCUUCUUCCCUUUAUUUGUUCCCAAACAUCGAUACCUGAAAAAAAUUCUGAUUGUACUCUUUCUUGUGGCAAUAUUGACAUAAGCUCUCCAUUUCGGUUAAAAGGAGACCCUCAACACUGCGGCAACCGUACGUAUGAGCUAACUUGUGAGGAAAAUGUUACAGUCCUCUACUUGUAUAACCGAAAGUUUUACGCCAAGGCGAUCAAUUACAAUAACUUUACAAUCCGAGUUGUGGAUGCUUCUGUUCAAAAGAAAGAUAACUACUACUCCAUCCCACAUUACUCUUUUACCUCAUCCAGCUUUAGUUAUCGGGAUCCUUACAGCACUUCUCUAGUCCGACGACUGACGUGGAGUUCAAAUAUCCCGGACAUAAGUUAUAGUUACACGGCACGGCCUAUAUAAUUUUUAUGAACUGUCCAAAUCCAAUGCAUUCUCCUGGCCUUGUAGAAACAGCUCCAUGCGUCAAGGACGGCACCUGCUCUUCCAAUUCUUCUCUGUCCAAUGGUUUAAGAAUGUUUUCUUAUUCCAUCUUUGGCUGGAAUGGCUCCAUAAGUUCAUUGGAUUUGGGGGAGUCCUGUGAAAUAACGCAGAUGCUUAUGGUCUCACCUUCGUUGUCUGUAGAAGACAUGCAUGAGCACUUGACGUCCUGUGAAGGCAUAUAAAGUGAAAUAGCGCAUGGCUUCGAGCUUUCAUGGUUUCACCAGGCUUGUAGCACCUCAAACUGCAUAGAGGGGAAUUGUGUGCUCAAUAACGUGAGCAAAAUUAAGUGCUUUCGCUAUGAACCCAUAAAAUAUGAACCCAGAAAAGGUAGUGUCUAUUAUUCCUCUUAUUCACAAGGCUAGAGUAACCAAAUUAAUUCAGCAAAUAAUUAGUCUUCAAUUACUGGGAGUCUGUCUGUCUAUGGAGAGUUAGGUUUUACAACUCUAGAAUAAAUUAGGUCAUAUAAAUAUUGACGAGAUGAAUGGGAUGGGAGAUAAACUUUUAUUUCUAUUAAGUACGUAUUCGAGGCUAAAUUUAUUAAGGAAGGAUCGCUACCUUUCUUUUUGUACUUUCUCUUUUGACCUUUUUACUUUAUUUUUUAAGAUCUUACAUAUUACUUGAUAAUCAAAACUGUUUAUUUUGUAUACCACUAUAAACUAAUACUGCAAAAUACCCCAUUAAUCAGAAUUUAGAAUUCAUUUCACUGUUCGAUUAACGAUGUCAUGAUUUUUUGUUUAACUAAAGCACAUGGUUCACCUUUUAUUGAAUUCAUAUAUUGUUAUUUUUUCUAUAUUUAGAAAAUAGGCAGUUUGGAAUACCGAGUAAUAUUGUAAGAUCUUACAAAAAAAUGGAAGGUAAUAAGUGAAAGUGCAAACAGAAGGGUAGCUAGCAUUCUCCUAUGAUAUUAAUUUUCACCCUUUUUUUCUCUUAAUAGGAAAAAUAAUAUAUAUGAUCCUUAAUGAUAAUUCUUCUUCUUUUGCAAAGCAGAACAUUGGUACAUCAAGAUCUUACAGUCCAUACUAUUGGCACUAGGCGAGUGGUUUACUCUCUUAACGCAGCUUCUAUUUAAUACAUGUGCAGUUAGUUUCUUUAUUUGUGGUCACCUUGAUAUUUAUUAAAAAAUUACAUUUGGAAAGUAUGAUCGAUAUUCAUCGCUUUACUGCAGGAACGGUUUUACCAGAUGUAUUUGUCCAUCCGCUAUGGUCAGUUUAUCCCUUGGGACGAGUUGAGUGUGGAGCAAAAAAUAUUCACAAGGCGACACAUGGAUUUUUGGAUAAAAGAGGACAAAAAUACCCUUGAGGCAUACCAGGAUUCCUACACACGAGCAGCGGGCAAUCAUCCGUUAACCAAGUCAAAAAUGCCCAAAGAAGGUAACAAAUAAAAGUUAUUUUAUCCAUAUACUCCACAAGGUAACCAUUCCAAAUAUUCCAUUUAAAUUAGAUUAAUUGGUGAAUUAAUGGAUUUAUUUCCUAAUUAAUCCUUUAAAUCACCAAUUCAAUGACUCAUUAUGCCAAUUAAUCCCCCAUUACAUAACCCAUUACCCAAAAAUCCCAAAUGGCCGGCCACCCUUAUUGAUUUCAUCAUAUUCACCUAUUUUAAUUAGCUAGUUAAUUUGGCAAUAAUUUUAUUUGCUAAAUUAAUUAGUCAAUUAUUUUCAUAACUCCUAAAUUCAACCUAAAUCAAGAACCCUAUUCCUAUAAAUAGGCUCUCAUUCUCACCAAAAAUCUAGGUCAUGACUCUUGCUAAAAUUCUCCAAAGCUCUCAAACACUUUUCUCUCAAAAUUCUAACUUUGGCAUCAGAGGUUCUUCGGCCAAAGCCCUCCCCAUUCAUCGUGGGCGUGUGAGGCUCUUGGCCUUGACCUAAGGUGUUAAUUAUUUUGUAGGUGCAAUUUUGUCCAAGAUCAAGGAGGAAGAAAUUUGCAUCCACAAAUUGGUGCUUUCAUUGAGAGUUGAGAUCCAUACUCGUAGAAGACUCUCGCAUAAAAGGUUUUUUCUCUAUUUUCUAGUCCAUUUGAAUAUUUUUCAUACGUUCUUAUUGUUAGAAUUUUUUAUUUGCAAAGGUUCUUUGAUAAAACGUAUAAGAAAAAUAUAAUGGCUAGAAAUUUAGAAAAUUCCACAAGUGAAAAUUCUAAUACUUAAGAAAUGGGACCGCGACGAUCCACGAGGCUAAAUGUGGUCAUAGGCGGAGUGGUACCACCACUACGAGGUUCCAUCAUGGCCCAAGCAGUGCCAUCCAAGCUUGCACAGGUCCGAGCCCAAGCCUUGCAUUCGUAUGCAUCACACUCUGAGCAGCCUGCUCCCGACGAGCAGUCCACUCUCGUUGUCCAACCUGCUCCCGACGAGCAGCCCACUCUCGUGGCCCAGCCUGCUCCUGCCAAGCAGCCCACUCUCGCGGCCCAGCCUGCUCUCGUGGCCCAACCUGCUCUCGCAGCCCAGCCCACUCCCACCGAGCAGUCUACUCUCGUGGCCCAGCCUGCUCCCGAUGAGCAGCCCACUCCCGUGGUCCAGCCUGCUCCCGUCGAGUAGCCCACUCUCGCAGCCCAGCCUACUCUCAUGGCCGAGCCUGCUCCCACGGCCCAGUUUGCUCCCGUGGCUUUCCAAGCAGCCCAAGUCGGCCCAAGACUAUCUCAACUAUUCGGACCUACCAUCGAGCCAGAGGCAUUCUCACCAUAUUUUUUCUCGGAUUUGACAUUUUCCAACUCAAAUCUCGCGCCCGGAGUCUACCGCAUUUCCACUGCCAAAUGAGGCACAUUUCUUCCAAGUUUUUCCAACCCAAAUGGAGAACAACACUUGUCUCGACAAGUCAUAGAGUUGACGAGCGCCCUUGCAUAGCAGAUGAACUUGGUGAACCAGCUCUUGUAGCACACCGAGAUGCAAUGUGCCCCAGAUGAGGUGUCCCGAAGUAGGACAAGGGCAGACAAAGAACCUCUCCAGCAGCGCCCCGGUAAGCAGCCACUCGACCAGCCACUAACCGAGUGUUCAGGCAGUGUACACUCCCGAUUGGGCCCCCGAGAUAGCGUAUACUCUCGUCUUAGAGCACGGAGGAGCGUGCACUCUCGACUAGGCCCACAGAUAAGCAUACAUUCACGGUUGAGGUCACACUCCGAUAGUCAACAUGAGCAGCCUUCCAAGAGAAGUGUUCAUUCGCGGCUAAGCCCGCAAUGAGCAUCAUCCACCUCACAUCGGAGUAGACAACAUGACGGACAGAGAAAAACAGUCACUCAAUAUGGCUCAAGUUCAACCAGCAACCUGCGAAGAACUCGUUCGCCUGCUAGGAACGCGCUACAUGCACCGCAUAUGCGGCAUAGAUGAGCCAAACACAUGGAAGAACAGCCUAGACCAGUAAGUCAUAAUUGGGGGCAGCCGAGAGUUUCGCUACCCCAACAAAGGUAAAUUCAGGAAGAAGUAGAGAGACUUUUGACCAAGCGAUUGCGCAAUUUCCAACGUAAUGAGGUCACCGAUGAGGCACUACGACGGAACAUGACCAACAUAAGCAGGUCACCCUUCACGGACUAGAUCGAGUAAGCAGAGCCUCCACGCGAGUUCAGCAUGCUACAUUUCACAUCUUUCAAAGGGGAUGAAGACCCGGAUAAACACUUAAAGCACUACCGAAGCGCAAUGAUCCUUUAUCGAAACAACGAUGAUCUCAUGUGUAAGAUAUCCACCACCACUCUACAAGGCGAGGUGCAAGAUUGGUUCUACACCUUGCCGCCACAAUCCAUCUGGAAUUUCGACGAAUUUUCUUUGGUUUUCACCAAAGAAUAUUCAUCCUAUCGCUCGAUCAAAAAGAAGUUCAAACAUUUGUUCGACGUCAAGAAGAACCCAAAGGAGUCGCUUCGCGACUAUGUGAGGAGGUUCAAAGCAGAGAAGACAAAAAUAGUCGGAUGCAACGACUCGAUAGCUAGAGCAGCCUUCCAAAAAGGACUUCCAGCAGACCACCUAUUGUUCGAAAAACUGAUAAUGAAAGAAGAUCUAGCUCUGGCAGACUCUUUCGCUUUGGCAGAAAAGCAUGCACUUUGGGACGAAGUUCGCUGAUGCCCAUUUAAGGCAAAUCCAAGCGAUCUUGAAUAUGAAGUUCCCCACUACUUGGAAGGAGAUUCAAACUCUGACUGGACGAGUAGUCACAUCUGAAGCAGAAAUAAGCUCUACCAUUAUACGAGAAGAGCUGGGGGCCCGACUACCUGUAUUCCAUAGUUUAAAAGCUCUUAUUGAUGUUAUCAGAAAUUCAAAAACUAACUUUGGCGAUAGUUGUUGCAACCCGGAAGCUCAAGUUUUACUUUCAAACGCAUGCAGUCAUCCUCAUGACAUAUUAUUCCACCCAAUCUAGACUCGCGACGAUAAAGACGUAGACCCUGGAGGAUGCAAAGUUUUCUAACGAACGCAACAACUCGGCUCAAAAGACAUGCCCAGGGUAGACGAACACUGGAAGGGCACACUCGGAAGCAAGUUUUGUCCUCGUCACCCUAAAAGAUUCUACAUAGGAGUAACAUGUACCGGCAGUUGAGUACCAUCUCCUGCUGCGCACCACACGGCCCUAGCCGACCCUUGCUCAAUGAUUCAACUCUAGAGUGGCCCAAUACUGGCAGUUGAGCAUCUCAUGUUGCGUGUGACAUGGCCCCAUCUCCACAACUCCCUACUGCGCCUUCACGCCGAGCCUAGGUGACGCAACAGAGCGGCCCAACGAUGCCCCAGAAGUAGCUGAGCACACUCUAGCCACGCCUACUCCACCCGAUGGAGACUUCUGGCAUUUGUAUGUUGACGGCGCAUCCAACUACAAAGGCUCGUAAGCAGCCAUGGCCCUUAUCACCCCAGGCGGUUUGAUGCCCGAGCAGGCAAUCAUUCUAGGUUUCAAAGCAUCCAACAACGAAGCAGAGUACGAAGCCCUACUAGCAGGCCUUUGAAUGACAAAAGACUUGGCGGUGAAAAAGUUUUCAAUUCAUUCUGAUUCCUAGCUAAUCACCAGCUAGACUACUGGGGGCAAAGGCAUGAUGAUCGCGGCAACCGACUACUUCACCAAAUAGGUAGAAGCAAAGCCCAUGACGACCACGAUUCAAACGGACAUAGAGCGCUUCAUAUGGAGGAACAUCAUUUAUCAAUUUGGCUUCCUUAAUCUAUCGUCACCGACAACGGCCCGCAAUUCGUGGGCAAAGAUUUGGCGAAGUUCUUCCAAAAAUAUGGCAUCAAGCAGCACAUGUCUACGCCAAAAUAUUCUCAAGGCAAUAGGCGGGCCAAAGUAUCCACCAAGAUGAUCCUCGACUGCCACAAGAAAUCCCCCACCAAUAAGAAAAGAAAAUGGCCAGACGAACUCCCUGGAUGUCCAUGGGCAUAUCGCACCACCAAAAGACGAGCAACCGAAAGAAGAUGGCCACAAGCUUAAAUCUGGCAGAGGAGAAAUGCGAGCAGACUAUCACCCGCCUCGCAGCUUACCAACAGCAACUCCUCCCCAGCUACAACAAAAGGGCUAUGAUCCGGCAGUUUCAACCCAAAGAUCUAGUCCUAAGAAAAGCCUUCAUCACUGCCCACAGAGAAGGCUUCAAAAAGAUGAAUCACAUCUGGGAAGGUCCGUACAAGAUCAGCAGAGUAGGCGGCAAGAGUAAUUACACCAUCGCCACCAUAAAACGGCAAAAAGAUCGAAAAACAAUGGAUGGCCUACAAUCUGAAGAAGUACCAUGUGUGACUUCUCGCUACAUCAAAACCCGAAGACUCAAGAAGCUCGAUGGGCACCACCUCAAAAGCCAAGGACUAUCCAGUUGUUAUGCAGUUCCUACCUUACAGCUAAGUUCUCGUUUGUUUCACUUGUUUUUUCAAUGAGGAAUUCAGAAGAAAUCACAACUUGGCUCGGCUGCAUGCUUACAACAACUGAUCACUCCUGCAUUUCAGAAGAAAACUACGCCCUACUUAGGGACUCAUCGCAGGAAUUGCGCCCCCCCCCCGAGAGACCAACCAUGCUCUCCAGUGCGAGAGAGUAAACUAAUUGCUCUCCAGUGCGAGAGGGUAAACUAAUUCCCCGACACCCGUAUGGGUCAGCUCUCUAAGAAGAGAGGAUAAAUUUUACACUCCGAAUAUCCAGACGUGGAUGAGCCUGGCUGCUUUAGUAUAACUAGAUGCACGAUGGCUUGCGUCGGGAUUCCUAGAAGUAGCCACAAUGGUCUUUUUCAAGGCUUAGCUAACUGAAAGAUUUUGGGUCUCUUGGCCUAAUCCGUGGGGAACCGGGCCCUAGAGACGGAGGGGGCACAUUACGCAGUACGCCCUACAAACGGCUGCCCUAGAACCCUAAAGCUGCUACCGAGUGCACUAAGAUAGCCUACGAUUUCCGGAAGACUACCUACGGCUUGCCCUUCGAGCAGUAAAAUCGCGUUAGACUUAUACAACCGCACAUUCUUGUGAAAGGUUAAACAAGCUAGCGUGCAUAUACGAAGCUUUAUCCACUGCCGACAUGCUACGUAGUUGAUAAGCUUCACAUCUGCUAAGCACGAAACAACCUACACCAAGUCCUAAAAUGUUGUGAUAUUUGCUACGUAACCUACGGAAUUGGAGAAAGUCAAGGUUAGCAGCCUAGUGGUUACGUGGACUUGUCUGCUUCUGUAAGUAAGGCAUCCGGCUGCCAACCCUAUGGCUAACAACUUUGCAAAGUUCUACACCAACACCUACGACUGCAUAGGCUACGCGAGCUUGUCUACUUAUAAAAAAAGUAGCAUGCCUGCCACUAGUCUAUCAAGUCUAAAGGUUAGGGCAUGAACAAAAGAAUUAAAGAUGAAGAAAAGCGAAGGAAAACAUGUUUAUAAACAAUUAGCAAAGGCCAAAGGAGUUCAAGCAAAACAAGAGCUACAAGGAAAAACAAAGAAAAUCCUAAAGGCUACCUAAAAUACUACACUACAGCAGCUUGGACAUCCCACGACUACUCGGUCGCCACACCUUCAGCAGCCAUAACGCUCUUAGCAACGGCAUCAUCCGGCGCUUCACCCCAGGCUGCCCAAGCCUGGGCACUAACGUCUCCAACUACUUCACCAAUAGAAGCCUCAAAAGUAAAAGCAAGCAAGUCUUCCAGAGAAAUAGAGAAACCUCAAGUCUAUCCUUCUCACCCUUCAGCUGCUCAUUCUUCUCAAGCAGACUAACACGGAUGCGCUGCAGCUCAUCCACUCCAUUCAAAGCAACAAGCUCAUAAUCCAACCUCUUGAUCUCCUCGGCUGAGGAAUAAGCUUCAGCUGCCAUAAUCUUUGCCACCUCCUUGACAGCCUUGCUAUAUAUGCAUCAUAACAAGCAGAGCAAUCCUUCUAUAUUAGGUCGUAUGUUUCGCAAAGGAACUUGGGCAAACAACCUCUCUACCGCCAUCAACAAACUUGGCACAAGCGUCCAUGUCUUCAAGCAGAUCUAGUUUCAAAAGCACAAUGAUCUCAGCAGCCUCCCCAGAAGCAGGCUUAGUGGAUUUCUCACAGCUGCCCACACAAGCAGUAUAUUCCUUCCUAACAGGCGAAUCAGUCUCAGCAGCAAAGGGAGUGGGCAUUGGUGCCACUUUAGCAGCAGAGUCCACCUUACCACUCUUCAAUAGCAAGUCUCUCCAAAGGUGAACCAGACUUGGCUCAAAACGAAUGUCUUGGUAUAGACUUCGGCACUAGGGGCAUGAUAAAACCUUUACGCUGAGCAAUCUUAUCAACAAUUGUACUAGCCAUUUUCAACAUGGAAGGCACCACAUGAUCAGAUCUAGCAGCCUCAUUUUUCUUCCCAUUAGAAGAAGUCAUGCCAAUCACAGACCUCUCGACAGCAGACAGAUCAUCAUGAGCAGCAGUGGAGAAAGUCUUCAAUUUUUCUCAAUCGGUAUCUCUUGAGUAGGCGGGGAAGAUCUCUUCUUUCCAUCUUCAUUCAUAGUAGACUCCACGACAGCGAUUAGACGAGCCAAUGCAUCCGCCUUGAUCCUCUUGAUCCUCUUUACCUCCUCUUUCGGGAGCAGCCCACCUUUCCCUUGGCAAAAAGAACUAAGCAGCCAACACCAUUCACGGUACUCAGCAAAAGAGCUCAACCCAGCAUUCUAGCAGGCACGAAGCCUGCAUACCCAGCAUUCCAGCAACUUAUGAAGCCCAUGACAUCCUCAUUUCUUUUAGUCGCCAGCCUGGCCCGAGUAAGGUCCAAAAGCCCAAAAGACAUGAGCCAUGUGGCUUGCCUAGCAUUGCGCCCCAACGCCAUAAUUCGCGGCCCCAGCCGCACAAGCUGCCAUUGGCUCUAACCAAGCCAAACAGCCCAAGCAGUAGCCCCUGCCAUAAUGCCUCAUCGGUUGAUGCCGAGCCGACUCCUGGCCCUUGCCAGCCGACGUGUCGUACCACCCCGACGGCUGCCCUGCAAUAGAACUAUCCAAGAAGAAGACAAGAAAAAAAAAUUUAAUUUUUCUUACAUUGGUGUGGCACGGAGAAGAUGAAGAAAUCAACAAAAAACGGUCUUUUGCACGGGCAAGAUGUAGAAGAUUGCUAGAGGAGGGGAAACAAAUAUCCUCUAAGCUCUCUCUCUCUUGUAGGGUAUAAUAAAUCGCUCUCCAAAGUUAAUUUAAUAACCCACUUAAGGUGGACUUAAAUAGGCUUUAAGAGAAAUUUAUUUCCCUUUCCUAGAAGGAUCUAAUUUCCUAUUAAAGAGAGAAUCUACAUCAAAAUAGGAAGCAGUCCUACGUUUCCUAAAGCAAGAUGAUCUCUACACCUGCUGCUCUUUUCUGUGAGCAGCCCAACAGGUGUGGGGGCAUUUGUGGAGCCAAAAAUAUUCACAAGGCGACACGUGGAUUUUUGGAUAAAAGAGGACAAGAAUACGCUUGAGGCAUACCGGGAUUCCUACGCACGAGCAGCGGGCAAUCAUCCGUUAACCAAGUCAAAAAUGCCCAAAGAAGGUAACAAAUAAAAGUUAUUUCAUCCAUAUACUCCACACAAGGUAACCAUUCCAAACAUUCCAUUUAAAUUAGAUUAAUUGGUGAAUUAAUGGAUUUAUUUCCUAAUUAAUCCUUUAAAUCACCAAUUAAAUGACCCAUUAUGCCAAUUAAUCCCCCAUUACAUAACCCAUUACCCAAAAAUCCCAAAUGGCCGGCCACCCUUAUUGAUUUCAUCAUAUUCACCUAUUUUAAUUAGCUAGUUAAUUUGGCAAUAAUUUUAUUUGCUAAAUUAAUUAGUCAAUUAUUCCCAUAACUCCUAAAUUCAACCUAAAUCAAGAACCCUAUUCCUAUAAAUAGGCUCUCAUUCUCACCAAAAACCUAGGUCCUGACUCUUGCUAAAAUUCUCCAAAGCUCUCAAACACUUUUCUCUCAAAAUUCUAACUUUGGCAUCGAGGUUCUUCGGCCAAAGCCCUCCCCAUUCAUCGUGGGCGCGUGAGUCUCUUGGCCUUAACCUAAGGCGUUAAUUGUUUUGUAGGUGCAAUUUUGUCCAAGAUCAAGGAGGAAAAAAUUUGCAUCCACAUUGAGGUCUAACACCGUUUACGGGUGUCUGAUAACUGUGCCCUCUCUCCUAGGUAGUGUAUUUGUCCAUCACUUUGCUGCAGAAACGGCUUCGUACCAGAUGUAUUUGUCCAUCCGCUAUGGUCGGUUUAUCCCUAGGGACGAGUUGAGGUCUAACCCCCUUUACGGGUGUCUGAUAACUGUGUACUCUUUCCUAGGUACUGUGAACUACUCGUACUCAGCUAUAAUGCAACUUUUUCUAGCUUCAGAUACUCAUCAUUCAAAAAUGAAUGUUUGAUGAUCACUUUGUUUUUGUUUUCAUUCUUAUUAUUAUGUUUUAGUUAAAGGUUGCAGGGGAAUAUGGAAGAAUAUAUAUGAGAAAGAUGUGAAAAGGACAAGGAGGAUCGAGGUGGAUAGAGAAAUUGUUAUUGUCUUUGAAACAAAAAGUGUUUUCCUUUAAUUUUUUGUUUCAUAAAUUCUCCAUUUCUCCAUCAUCCCCCUCCCCAUCCCCAUAUCUUCUUUCUACAAUUUCCCCUCGCCUUUUUUCUCUCUCUUUUUAGAUUAAAAAAUAAAACAAAAGGAUUACCAAAUUGUUGCUUAAUUAAUGAAAAAUAUCGUUGCACUAAAGGAACAAGUUUGAUGAUAUUACAGCAAUCAAUCUAUUUGGUGACUCCAAUGUUUUUGAAGUUGAAUAUCAGAGUGCACAACGAACAAGACUAACAAGAAUAAUAAGAAUAUUAUUAAACAAACUGAGAAUGCCGGAACGGCUGUAAAACCCUAAGAGACUACAUUGUGAAUAACUUAUUUUCAAACUAAAUUACAAGCUCUAUUUAUAGAGCAAUAAACCUAAGAAACCCUAAUGCUUAAAUGCCAAAAAUACCCUACUACAAAAUCAAAUCAAAUCUUAAUUAAUUUCCUAAAUAAACCUAAUAAAUUCCAACACCCCCCGUCAAACUCAUGGCGGUACACGACAUGAGUUUGCCAACAAGCAGAUGUGGAUGCAAGCCUCCAAAUUCCAAUGCCGAUGCCGAUGCCGAUUUCCGAUGCCAAUUUCAAUACGAAAUUCCAUCAGUGCAAGUGCAAGAUUCCAAUGCCAGUGCAAGAUUCCAAUGCCAGUACCAGUGCAAAUGUCGAUGCCGAUGCCUAACAAACAAACAAAAAAUCCAACCAAAUAUUCAACAUCACCAGCCUCCUUCUGUUCGAUUCCUUCCUUUUUUUUUUACCUUCUGUGCGAACCAACGUGCGACCCAACAUCACCAACCUCCUUCCUUUUUUUCCUUCUGUGCGAUUCCUUCCUUUUUUUUGUACCUUCUGUGCGAACCAACGUGCGACCCAACAUCACCAACCUCCUUCCUUUUUUUCUUCUGUGCGAACCAACAUCACCAGCCUCCUUUUUUUUUUUUUCGCGAGGGUACAGUUGUGGACGGAUCCAGAUGCAGGGUGGGGUUGGGGAAUGCAGAAAUCCUAGUGCGAUGGAUUCACCAAAUUCCUUUUUUUCAAAAAACAGAAUUUUUUUUCCCUUUCUUGAAGACUACCAAGGACAAACUGAAAACCAAACCAGAAAACGUAAAAAAUCUAUGAACAAGAAUAACACAAUUUGACGGUCAAUACCGAAAUCCAAAGACAAAGAACAUAAACAGAAAUCCAAAGACAAAACGAACAAAAAACAGAGUGACCAAGAACAAAGGACACAGACCAAAGCGGAAGCGAAAGCCUAAACGAGACCCAAACUAAACCAAAAAACAAAAAGCGACAAAACAAAUUGAUACCAACAAGAACGGAUUGAACCAUAAGGAUCAAACCCGUUCUGAUACCAAGUUGAAUAUCAGAGUGCACAACGAACAAGACUAACAAGAAUAAUAAGAAUAUUAUUAAACAAACUGAGAAUGCCGGAACGGCUGUAAAACCCUAAGAGACUACAUUGUGAAUAACUUAUUUUCAAACUAAAUUACAAGCUCUAUUUAUAGAGCAAUAAACCUAAGAAACCCUAAUGCUUAAAUGCCAAAAAUACCCUACUACAAAAUCAAAUCAAAUCUUAAUUAAUUUCCUAAAUAAACCUAAUAAAUUCCAACAUUUGAAACGUGCAAGACUAUUCCAAGUAGUCAAAUUUUUAUUUGGCUUUCCCUGUGUAAUUGCAUUAAUAAUAUACAAAUGCAAAAGGAGGCACUUGUCCAUGUAUGAAAAUAUAGAAGACUUUCUGCAGAAUAAUCAGCUCAUGCCAGUAAGGUACUCUUACUCGGACAUAAGAAAGAUGGCCAGAGGUUUUAAGGACCAGUUAGGGGAAGGUGGCUAUGGUUCUGUGUACAAGGCAAAGCUUCGCAGUGGUUGUCUUGUAGCCAUCAAGAUGUUGGGUAAGUCGAAAUCUAACGGGCAGGAUUUUAUCAAUGAAGUUGCUACCAUUGGAAGGAUUCACCAUGUUAACGUGGUGCAACUUAUUGGUUUUUGUGUCGAGGGUUCAAAGCGUGCUCUUGUAUAUGACUUCAUGCCUAAUGGGUCUCUUGAUAAGCACAUAUUUUCUCAACAAGGAGUUAUCUUCUUAAGUUCCGAGAAAAUGUUUAAAAUCUCACUUGGAGUGGUUCGUGGUAUUGAAUAUUUGCUUCGAGGAUGUGACAUGCAAAUUUUUCACUUCAACAUCAAGCCUCACAACAUUCUUCUCGGCGAGAACUUUCUUCCGAAGGUUUCUGAUUUUGGGUUAGCAAGGCUAUGCCCAUUAGAUAAUAGCAUUGUGUCUUUGACUGCAACGAGAGGAAUCAUCGGAUACAUAGCUCCAGAGUUAUUCUACAAAAAUAUUGGAGGUGUUUCGUACAAAGCUGAUAUCUAUAGUUUUGGGAUGCUACUUAUGCAAAUGGCUAGAAAAAGAAAGAACUUAAACGCAAAUAUAGAAUGCUCGAGCCAAAUAUACUUUCCGACAUGGGUUUCUAACCAGCUGAGGGGAGGAAAUCCGAGAUGCUACAGAGGAGGAAAAGAAAAUCAUUAAGAAGAUGAUUAUUGUGGUGUUGUGGUGCAUACAAAUGAAGCCUAGCGACCGUCCUUCUAUGAAUAAGGUUGUAGAGAUGCUUGAAGGAGAAAUCGAGAGCCUUCAAAUGCCUCCAAAGCCUUUCUUAUACCCACAACAAAUGCCAAAGGUAGUUACUGGCAGCAGUUCAAGUACCGCAUCAGCUGCAUCGAGGACAACGACAACAUCUACAAAAAUUGUUUUGAUUGCAGAUGAAAAUUCACACAGUUAAUAUAGCUAGUAGCAAUGUUGAUGUGCAAAGGAACAUUUAGUGUACCCAAAAGCACAAAUAGACCGACACGCCCCGACCCUGAUAUUCUCCGAAUACCAGGACUGACACGUGCUGGCCGACACCCGGGGGUGACGAAAGCCAUUAAUUGAGACAAAAGCUAAGAAUAAGAAAUAAAUAAGGGUUAUGAAUUUAAAAUACCAUGAAUUAAUAAAUUAGGAACGUGUUCAGAGCAUACAACUAAACCUAGUCACUAACAAAAAUUAAGAUAAGAUUGAAUGAACAAAAGAGUGGGUCCUACCCCGAGAUGACUCGACGAUGCUGCUGCGGAAGUGUCUUGACGCCGGGAUUAGGUGCCUUGAUUCUAAGUCCUGAAUGGGGGCGCAAAACAAAGAUGAGUGGACCAAGUUUAUAUAUAUAUAAUAAUAAUAAAACAGUUCUCAAGUUACUAACCCCCACAGUUUAUAUAAUGAAAACUACUAGCAUAAUAAGUGAUGGAUUUAAUAAAAAUCCUAGCAUGCCAAAAAUAUCUCAAAAGCCAUAUAUCGCGGAAAAGCAUAGCGGAAAUCGAAACAUCAAACGUCUCAUAAAUCGUCUCGUAAACGCGGUGUGCUGCUAGUAGCUUGCCGUUGAAUAAAUAUAACUCCUGGCCAAUGCCUGCCAAAUAGCUCAACUCUCUCUCCAACUCACUAGUCUCUCCCUGCCCGCCAAUUAUUUCUUCCAGCCAUGAUAAUACCAGGCCGGCAUCUUACUAAAUAGGCCUCUCCAAUCGGUCCAAUGCCUCUCUACCAAUCCUAUUGUAAAGGAAUUAUUUUUCCCAGCCUAAAAUGUUCAGGCUAGUCUUAACACCUCUCAUAAAUAAACAAGCAUAGAUACCGAUCAAUCGUCUACACUAUAAAGAGGGGAAUUUCUCUAAAUAAGAGAUAGUUAUGGUUUUUAUAAAAUAUACCAUAUUAUGCAAUAAAACAAUUUUAAUUCCUCACCAAAUUCAUAGCUUCAAUAAAUUCAUUUUUCAGUUCAAUAAUUUAAUCAUAAUCAUAAAAUCAUAUGCUAAUUUCAAUUAAAUUAUAAAAUCAUGUAAUUUUAGAAGGGGUCCACUCACAAAUAUUCCUUAGCAGAAGAUUCGCGCGGAUAAGGAUAUAGAAUUUCUCCACUAGCAAUUUUACCUAAGAACAAGAAUGCACUAAUUAAAUAAAAGGAUUUUCUAAAAGAUUGGGUUGAACUAAAUAAAAUAAGGGAAUUGGGUUUGGAUGGGUUUACGUUUUAAUGGGUUUUAGGAACCUAGGGCUUUUUGGGUUAAAAGGGUAUUAGGGUGAGAAAAUUGGGGUUUGGGCUUUAGCCCAAACACAUACACACACUACAAUUACACACACACACACGAGCACAAAGGCCUUAAAGCCUUAUAAAAAAAACAGGGCUUUAAGCCCUUGGUUUAAACCGGCCCAAGGCCAUUUUAAAAUAAGGCCCGAAGCCUUUAGGGGUUUUAAAUACAAAAUGAACAAAAUUUAAAAACUAAAGGGGGCUGGGGGUUUUGGGCUAAGACAACACGGGCCUAAGGCCCGAGGGUAUUUAAAACGGCCUGAAAGGCCUAGGUUUGCGGAAGAAGAAAGCCCGAGCUGCUACAGCUCCGGUCACCUGAAAACGAGGGUUCUAGACCCCGAUCUAAGUACGAAAAUGAAGAGCAAGAUGAGGGGAAAAGAUUUAUACCUUCCAAAAACCGUAACUCGAUCGGAGAUGACUGGAAAAAGCUCCCAAAGUCCACGGUUCGCCGAAAAAUGGGUGUGCUCACCCACAAUGAUUUCCGAAGCAAAAUCUACGUAAAAAUGGAAGGUUCAAGCUUCUAAAUCACAACCAAACAUCAAGGUAACAACGAGAAUGAGAGAUUUGUGAUUUACCUCAACGAAAAGAAAGAAAAUGCUCACCGGAGCUUUGCUCCGUGUUGUUGAACUCGCAGGGCAGGGUCUCUGGGCUCGUGGUGAGCCUCUCCUGAUGGUGACUCGGUUCUAGUGAGUCCAGGGGGAGAGAGAGAUGCAAGGUCGAGGGAGAGAGAGAUACACGGGAGAGCUGAGAGAGCUGAGAGAGUGUAAGGGAGACAGAACUGCGAGAGAGAGAGAUGCGGGAGAGGUGAGGGAGAAGAGAGAACUGAGAGAGGAGAGUGGGAAACCGGAAAACACAAAAAAUAAAACAAGGUGGGCCCCACAGGCUCACCAAUUAAGGACUAAAACCAUUUUUUAAAUAUAAAAGAGGGUUGGGGUGUUUCAUAGACUACCUGAAUUUAAUGGCAUUGAUUGCUUUCUGGUUUUCAGUUUUUAGCUUUGGCACGUACAAGGAUUAAUUUAUGCACAAAUCGUCUCUCGAUUAGUAUGGAAAAGCUUUGGAUAUAUAAUUUGUGUAUGAGCAAAGUUCGAUAUCUAUAACUUAUGUUGAAGAAUGCAAUCCUACAUAAGAAACUAAACAAAUUACACAGCUUAUAUCGAAUGGUUCCACUUCCAAUUGCAUAUGAGAAGCUUUAAGAGGAGGAGAAGGUACCUGAUCAAGGCGUGGCUAUCUUUGAUUAUUAUCUCAGGAUGUGCAUUUGAAUUCAAAUUAACUUAGCAAGGUAGAAUUAAUAUUUAUUCAUAAAAAGACUAAAGCAGAUCGCCUUACAUAUGCGACCCAAUUAAUAUUUAUUGCAAUCAAUAGGCUUAAAAAAGAGUCUCUUUCGUUUGUGCCAUGUUGCCAAAGACCGCGAUUUCUCAACGAAUGGGUCUGAAAGCAAAGCAAACAACAUCCAUUGACGCUCUUAUAAGAAAGUGUUGAAAGCUUGUAACUUCACAUCUGCACCAGUGAAAUGCGCAGUGAUUAUCGGAGCUUUGAUAGUCGAUUUGGUCUUGUAGCAGAGGCAUAGGAAGCGUUGAGGGGUCAGUCAGACGUCUUAAUCUUAUGGACUUGCUCACUGUCAAUUCCAGCUUAUUGUACAAGUCCUCCGGCAACAAUGUCAGGGUAGUACCUGAAUCAACGAUAAUAUUGCCCUUUGCUGGAGCUAAUGAAGGGUUCAGUGAACUGCCCGACACUCAUUGCUUCAAGCCCUAGAUAAUAUAAAUAUUGGAGUGUGCUAUCCACACAUCUCUUUUUACUUUUCACACACCCCUUGUUAAUUCCUGUCCGUUGAUCUUCUUUAAUUCAUCCGAUCUGACAGCCGAAAACCAAAAAGGUAUGGGAGAAGUAAAAAAAGGUGUGUGGAUAUCACACCCCUAAAUAUUUUGAGCCUCCAGAAGAAAGUAAUGGGGUAGAAAACGCUGUGGCGCCAGAAACCACAGCUUCAUUGCCGUAGCUCAUUGUGCUUGAUGAGUUGAAUCCUGAAAAGGCAUGCACAAGGCAGUAGGAAAAUUUCCCGUCGAUUGAAGAACUCAUCUGCGAGAUGGGGGACACAGGUCCACGUCCCAACCGUGCCUGAUCCAUUUCUGUUAAAGAGGCCUCCAUUGUCUUGUCCACAACCAAAUAUCAUUUGUGGGAAUGAAACUGGUUGCCCAGCAGUGGAGUUAAAUGUGACACUUUCUGUGGGUCUAAAACUUCCUUGCUGUAGGAUCUGCCUCCGUAAGAAACUGUGUAAUUACAAACUUCAGCUGUGUCAGGAGGAGAAGAAGUUCCGGUCACAAAUUUGCAUUGGCUUGAGUUCCGAGGAACUUGUGUGUAAGUUUUAGAAUUCUUUGGAUCGAAAGUUGGCGCUUUCUGCUUGUAACAAUUGAUGCAGGGUAUGCAUUGCGUCCAUGUAAGAUCACUACCUGUAUCUGCAGCGCCUAAGAUUUCAAGAGGAGGUGUACCUACUGAUAUUUUCAUGAGAUAUUCACCCGUGUCUGAGACUAUUGUAGAUCUAGGCAAGUUUGAAGGUGAUGAAGUUGGGUUCAAGCGAUUGACAAGGUUAAUGGAACACCGCAAAGCAUAGUCACACGUUGCAAAGGCGUUAAUUCUAAAGGAUCAUAGAGAGGAGAGACUGGAGAGUCGCAGUGAAUAAGUUGUAUGCUGAAGCUGCCAUUGCGAUCAGCUUGAAUAAGAGAGAACUGGGAGAAAUAUGGAGCAGAUAAUGUGAGUGCUAUUACGGAGGAGAAAGAAGGGAUAGCACAGUGGCUCCCAUGGUUCUCCGAGAAGCUUGUACGAAGUUAAGAUAUCAAAUUACAGUAUCAGUGAUGUCUUCGAUUUGAGGUGCUUCUGUGUGACUGUCCAGAAUCCAGAUCCUAACUCCAUGAGCAGUGAAAAGUGCAACCCUUAUUCAAAGUCUAAUUUAUUGUUUUUGCUAUAAUAUUCAAUGCCUUAGUUUAGAUAACGUGGCAAGGGACUUGUAGCUGGAUUAAGCAUUGCAUCCAAGGUUGUGUGUUCAAUUCCCUUCCCUUGAUAUCGCUUGUAAAAAAUGACAUAGUUUUUAGACACAAAAGAAGUGAAACAUGUGUCGAAAGAAACUUGAGCUACCACACUCCUCACUGCCUCAUUAUGAAAAGAAGAGGGAUUUUAGACACAAGUGAAUAGGGCAAACUAGACUAGAAAUGCAGGGCACAGUGCAAAAUUAUAUACCCUUGCAUCUUUUAGUAAAGAAAUUUGGCUAAAAUUAACAACGAACAUAAACCGCAGGGGCCGAAUUUCACCUUUGUAAACUACAUGUAGCAUUUAUACUUUUGGCCUAAUAUAACCAAAGAAACCACCUUCAGGCUUGAAGGUAUUGCAAAUGAGGCAGGAGGUCAAAACCUCUAAGCCCCCAAGAUAAGCUGAUCCACUAAGAAUUCCUAUAAAUCGUAUUACCCCCAAAACCGCUCAAUUGGCCUCCUUCCAUUUAAGCUAAUUUAAUCUACAGUAGUUUGUAUAUAACCUAAAGAGAAAAUUUCACGAGCUCAAACUAAAUUGCCUCCAUGCUUUCAAACACUAUCACGAAAAAACAGGCAACAAUUAGAGCUCCCAUUUGCUAUACCUCUGUAAUCUUAAGGAUCUUCGGAUUCUUCAUCCUUAUCUUCUGCAUUGCCCCGCCACCUAACUGGCCCAGACCAUCAUAAUCAAUUGUUCCCUACAAAAUACAAAACUUUGCUUGGAGGAUCAUAGAAUUCAUCGCAAUCAACUUGCCUAAAGACACCCCAAGUUAAUUUGAACAAAGAUUUAGAGCACUGUGACGAUAAAAAUUAGAGUUACUCUUUACGAAGGAAUUAGCACGUGUUUUAACAAAAGUAAGUUUCACAAAGCAGCAUUUUUGCAAUUGUUAAUUGCCUUUGGAAAAUUGAAAAGUAAGUCAUAUGAUAAAGUUCAGAGCAUAAACUUACAGUAACCACCAUAGGAGCAAAUGGUUUCGCAUCUUCUGGCUGUUCAACUGGAAUUGGUGGAUAGUUCACACUUUGAACUAGGAAUCUUGACUGCCAUUCAGAACUAAAAGUUUGCAUGCACGUAGACACCAGAAAGUUGAGUAGCUAUGGAUAAAUUAAACCGUAAAGAUAUGAACCUCAUCUGUCCACUCAAGAGCAAGAUCAUCUGCAUCAGGACACUUCCCUAUCCAAAUGACGAUGUUCCUGUAUUCCACAGUAUACCAAAACCACAUAUUCAACAGUAAUUCAAACAAUGAACAUAUGAACAAGAAUCCAUCAAGGAAGACAUGGAAGGGGCGGUCCUCAGGUUCAGAGAUGGAUGGAGAUGGCAAAAGAUGUACUGGUACAUAAAUGUCAUAAAAAAAUCCAAGGGACACUGCCAGUUAAAGAUUGAAAAUCAGACCAUGGACUUGGAGUAGGAGUUUGUCAAUGCAUUGCUGCACAAGGUGCAUGUGUAGUGAUAAUUACUUGCACCAAAGACAACCUAAGAAGUAAUGAAACCCAAGAAUAGAUCAGUAGAUAUAAACAUAAGAUCAUUAGAUCACAACUUUUAGUAGUAGCUAAUUAAAAUGAAGAGUGCAAUGAGAAUUAACAGAAAAUCCCACCUUCAGCUGCUAAGAGCAAACUAGAAUUCAUCAUCAGGCACAAAUCCCCUUUGAAGCAUUUCAUCAUGGAACCGAAAUGCCUCCUUCAAAUUAUCCUUGGUCACAUGUCCAUUUAUCAUUGACGUAUAAGUGGAUCUAUCAGGUUUUACACCUUUCUCAAUCAUCUUCCGCAAUACUAGCUCAACUUCGUGCAUUCUACCUUGCCAACAGAACCCAUUUAGAAAUAUUGUAUGUAAACUGAUCCGAUAAUAUCCCUUGCUUUUCCAUCUCCUUAACUGAGGAAAAAGCUUUGUCCAGAUUCUCUUCUUUUACAUAACCAUUAAUCAAAGUGUAGUCAGUAAUACUGUCGGGAAGAAUUCCUCUUGAAAUCAUUUUGACUAUAAGAACUCAUCCGCCUUUGUUGUGUCACCAGAGCGGCAAUAACCUUUAAUGACAGCGUUACAUGUAACUAGAGUGGGGUUUGAUACCUUCUUCAAUCAUCUGGUCCCAUAAACUCAACGCCUCAUGCACGUUCCCCAUGCUACAAAAUCCAUUAAUUAGAAUGCCAUAUGAAAUGUGGUUGGGUAGUAUCCUUCUUGAAACCAUGUCACCCCAUAACUCCUUAGCUUUAUCCAUUCCACCUAGUUUGCAGAAGCCAUCAAACAAUGUGUUGUAUGUGACUAUAUCAGGCUUAAUAUUUCUUUUUGUCAUUGCAUCAAACAGAUUGAGAGAUUUGGUCAUAUUCCCAUGCUUGCAAUAACCAUGAAUGAGUGUUGUGAAAGUAUAAAAACCAGGAAUGACACCCCUUUCCACCAUUUCAUUGAAAAAACUCAUCUGCGUCAGAAAGCAUCUUCUCCCAACACAGUCCAUUUAAAAUUGUAUUGAACGUUACCACAUCAAUAGCACAACCUUGCUCAAGCAUUUCAUCAUGCAACUUCAAAACCUCUAACACCAUUCCCUUUCUACAAUAUCCAUCUAUAAGGAUAGUGUAGAUCACAUUAUCCGGAACCAAGCCUGCCCCUUUCAUAUCUCAAAAAUAUACUAAUGCACGAUCAAUAUUUUUAUUCCUCGAAAAAAACCCAAUAAGUGAACUGAAACUAACUAUAUCAGGAACAACACCUAUGUGACAUUUCAUGGAAGAUUUCCUCAGCCUCUAAAAUAUCAUCUUUUCUACAGCUCUCAACAAGCAUUGGAUUAUACAUAGUAGUAUCAGGAUUCAACCACCUUGCAACAUUUCAUACAAAAGUUCCUUUGCUCUCACAUAAUUUCCUACUUUACAUAAGCCAUUUAUGAUAGCAUUGUACGUGAAAAGCUCAGGUUUCAACCCCUUAGAAGACAUAGAGUUUUUUAACUGAAAAGCUUCUUCAGGAAGCCCUUCACGACAAUAUGCAUUGAUUAGUGUAUUAUAUGUCACAAUAUCUGAAAACAACCCCUUCUCUUCCCUAUCUGAUAAGAAGAAUUUAACGCUAUCAAUUUUGCGAGCUUUGCAUAAGGCAUUGACCAUUAUAUUCGGUGUAUAAACAUUUAACUGAAUCCCACUGCUAACAACUUCCCCAUAUACGACCCAUGCCAAAUCAAUCCACCCGACCUUCACAAGCCCGCCAAGAGGACUAUUGCAAGCAUUUAUCAAAACACAAACUCCCUUGCUUCUAAACAGCUGAAACGCCUCAAAUCCUUCUCUCAACUUCUUAGCCUGCACAUAAGUUCUAACAAACAUAUCAAAGACCAAAGAACUUGAGCCGCAACUGCUAUAAGUUGAAACCAAAGAGUCUGCUACUUCAACACACGAAAUGCCACUCUUUCUAACCAUUCUAAGAAUCAGAGCUUGUGCAUCCGACGCUGUUCGACCACGCACCAACAUGUGAAUCAUUGCACUCAAAGACAGUGAUGAAUGCUUAAAAUCAGGACUAUUUAACAGAAUCAAAUCAAUAAACUUCAGACCCAGUUGCAAAUUUUCACGGCAGCAAGAAAGAACAACAACAAUAAGAGACGGGUUUAACCGAAACAGAAAGCUGCGCAAAGAGGUGAGGUUACCUUGCUUCAGACCUAAUAAAAUCUUUUCCACCAAAAGAGAAUCUGAUAAAGAAGCUGAUGGCUUGUACUACUACAGGGUUCUUGUGAUUGCAUACUUUUAAGACCAAGUUCCAGGUCAUUUGAUGGACAAUAUGCUAAACAAUGAGGUCUAUGAGAGUGAAAGAGUGAGUGUUCGUUGGUUUUGUGAAGGUUGUGCGGGUUCUCGGACCUACAUUCUCAAAAUUAGCCAAUGGGUUUGCAUGUUUGAAACUAUAAUUUUGUUUGUUAUUAAUUUUAUUCUAAGAUGGGUGGAUAUAGUGAUGACAUUAUCCUGACGGUAUGUUAUCUUUCAUCUAAAAUAAUCAUCUUUUAUCUUCAUCACUCACUUAUUCUCUGAAAUCUCUAAUAUAGGAUUGCAUUUAUCAACACUCCUCAAUAGAACCUGUCUUUUAUGGGCCACAUGUGCAACCAACACUCACUUUUUCUCAAGUAGCACAAGAUUGUCAUGAAAUUGUCGUUAGGUUGGGCCGGAUCGAGAAGAACCCGCUUGAUACAAUUCAAGAUAUAAGCCUAGUGGCUCAUUAUUAAUCACACCCAUAUUUUCCUAACAUAAUCACAUGUACAACUUUGCAGGCGUUCAGUUUUAUCACAAUCAACCUUAGUGAAAAGGGGAGACAUUUAAUAUAAUUUGUUAUUUAUUCUGCCAAGUGUUCGUUGUGAAUUAAUACGAAUUAAUAAUUUGGUCAAGUUGACUGAAUUGUAAUCAACUUUAUAACUAAUAUAUUCUAAACAUUCAAUGGAUAUGCUUCCUGCGGGUUAGAAUUUCUUGAUCAAGCAUGCGUCAUUGGAGCCGAUUCAAACGUUGCUAUAUACUAUCACCUUCAGAAAAUAGAUUUCUAUUACUAUCAGACAUGCAUAUAAAAAUUCAGUUCAAAUAUCAUGUCUCCAUCUUAUGUUUGUUAGCUAUUUCCUUUCUAGCUAGGUCAUCAUCAGUUAAACUUUCAUGAAACUUAUUCUCAUUAAAUUAUCAAUGAUAACAUUGAAUUUCAACCCCCUUACCAAAACAAAAGUUUUGUUAUACAUUUCAUCGAAAUUGCCAUUGAGGUCACAAUACGUAUUGAGAUGUGAUACUAAAACACAUAUAAAUUGUAGUUGAAAAAACAGCAAUGUCACUCAUGUCAAGUUGAAGGUAAUAAUUUUCUUUUUUUUACAUUGAAUAAUCAAAAUUUCUUUGCUCUAGAUGUGAUCGUUGAAGAAUGCUCAAUCUUACUUCUGAAAUUUAGAGAGAAAAUAAAAUAAAACUUAUAGGGAAUGGUUUUACUAUUAAUUGAACCGAGGUCUAUCGGAGGAUCAUCCUCGUCAACAGAUGUGGUGCCGUGCAUAGGAGGCGGCAUAAUUACAUUGUGGUUGUGUUAAUGUAGCCAUAAUAGUGGUAAAAUGAUUUGGUCGAGAAGUUCUUGAGUUCAACUCUCAAUGAAAGUACCAGUUGUUGAAACCAAAUAUGUGUGUCGUCGUGUGUGCUGGAGAUGCUUAAGCUCGUUAACUUGUAAAAGAACAAACGACUGAAAGGCAAGCUAGAGACCGAAGGGGUGUGUGUCUGUGUGAUGGCUAAAGGUUAUCCGACGUCAAGUCAGUAAGCAAUAUUAGGACUCAAGUAGUGGGUAAGAGAAUAAGUGUGCAAAGAUAGCGUUACCAAACAUGCCAUUUUUAGGGUGUAUUUAGACAAAUAGAGGAGAGGACCUUUUAGGAUAGUAAAAUCCUUAUUAAACCAGAAGAAUCCCAGAGGAUAUCUAGGAAGUAGAUAUUGAAUCCUCUUAGGAGUGUAUUUACUUGCGGUGCAUGUCAAUCCUUAGAUGGUAAGGAAUCCAAGAUUAUAGAAAACCUGAUGAUUCCAUACUGGAUUGGGUUCUUGAAUCUUAUGGAACAAGCAUGGUUUAUUUCAAUGAAGUCGAUGGACUUCGCCCGCUGAUUCCAAAACAAGAUGAUUGUGGCAUCACUGAACCGUUUAUCAGCUCUACAAUGGAGGGUGUUGAGUCUAUGGCUGGACUACUAAGGUAGACGUCUUCCAAUCCGUCUUACUCUGGCUCUGAAAAAUCAUGAUCCCACAGUAAACAAUCAAAACUACUAGUUCAUUUUUAUAAGAAUAUUACUUGUAUAAAUGUCGAAUCCAUCAAUGAAUAAGUUUCAGAUAAAAAAAAAUGCGAUAACAUAAAUUUGGACGGCAAUUUCAUAAUACAUUCAUUAAGCUUGAUUUACUAGUACAAGUUAUUAUUAAAUAACAAACUGAUAUACCAACUACUGUAUGUCUCUUUCGCAUUGUUUAAAUAAUGAAAAAUAAUAAUAGAUAAGUUAAUACUAGAAAACUUCAAUAAUUCCCUGCCUAACAAAUAUAAUAGUAAGUUUCAUGUAACUCAAACUUCAUUAGCUAAGCAUGGAAGAAAAAAAAAAGUUAAUAAAUAAAUUUCUCUGUGAUGAUAAUCAAGACUUCAUACUCAAUGUAAUCAGGAAUAAAAUCAUUUAAUAUAAGUUGUCAUUUAUUUUUUGAAAUUUCUGAUAUAAGAUUGUAUUAUUCAACGCUCCUCCUCAAUAGCGCCUGUCUUUGUGGGCCACAUGUGCAACCAAUUUCACAUUAGUAGCCUUUUAUUUUGUUUCUUUCUCUCAAGUAGCGGUAGAUUGUCAUAAAAAUUGUCGUUAGCUUGGGCCGGAUUGAGGAGAAUUUGCUGGAUACCAAUUCAAGAUGUAAGGCUAGUGACUCAUUAUUAAUCACAUUGAUAUUUUCCUAACUUAAUCACAUGUACAGCUUUGUAGGUGUUGAGUUUUAUAACAAACGACCUUAGUGAAAAGUAGAGCCAUUUAAUUGUCACGUCCUAAUCCCGACAUAUGUCCAGGACCGACACGUGACAUCAUCAAAUACACAUAAAUCUAACAUACCUUGCUUCCGGGAUAUGUACCAAACUCAACUCAUGCCUCAAAAUUUCCAAUAUCAUUCACUAACCACCAAUGCGACAAUUCCAAUCCCAUAACAUCAUUUCCAACAUCCACAAGUAUAGGCACUUGGACCUAAUACCUAAGCUCUAAUACCACCAAAAGUUGUCACCAACAAUCCCACGGCGCUGUCGCCGCCAUACACCAUGAAACGGCUUGAAUUGCAUCGAAUUUUUGGGUGAUCAACUAGGGAAGAGAGGUGUAAUGGUGUUUGUAGGUGGUGGGAGGUCAUAAAACACCGGAAAUUGGACUGAAAAACCCGUCAGAAUUGGCAGCAGGGGCGCGGGUCGGGUCGGGGUGUACGGUUCAAAGGGAAAAAGGUCCGAGUUUAGUGCUUCUCAAAAGUUGUCACCAAGAAUCCCACGAUGUUGUCGACACCGUACAACAUGAAACGGCCUAAAUUGCAUUGAAUUUUUGGGCGAUCAACUAGGGAGGAGAGAUGUAAUGGUGUUUGUAGGUGGUGGGAGGUCGUAAAACACCGGAAAUUGGACUGAAAACCCAUUGGAAUUGGCAGCAGGGGCGCAGGUCGGGUCGGGGUGCAGGGGCCAAAGGGGAAAAGGUUCGGUUUAGUGCUUCUCACUUCCCUCAUUUCUCUCCGUGAUCUCCCUCCUGAUUGGGUACUCAACCUUUCCUCCUCCUUCUGAUUCAUCCGCCCCCUCAUUUUCUCUCCUUUCCUUUCCAUCUCAGCCACAUAAGUGGCAUCACAGAUAAAUGCUCCAGCCAUCUGGAGCCUUCUAGAUUAGGUUAAAAUUAUAAAAAUAUCAUUGACUUUAAACGUUAAUAACUUCAUUGUUAUAACUCCGUUUCACGAACGGUUUGAACCUACCCAUUCAUGAGAUCGAGCUAUAUUCAAAAAUAUAAAUUGUGACCUUGAAAGGUCUACAAAUUUUAAAUAAUUAUUUUCCAAACUUCAAACUUCGUAACUAGUUAGAUUAAAAUCUAAAUUCCAACAAAUUAAAAUAAAUUUUCGAAAAAUAUUAUAAAAUCUCAAUAAUAAAAAUACGUAUAUUAUUUCACAUUAAUAUAAUUUGUUAUUUAUUCUGUCAAGUGUUCAUUGUGGAAUAAUACGAAUUAAUAAUUUGGUUAAGUUGACUAAAUUAUAAUAAACUUUAUAACUAUAUCUAUUCUAAAUAUUCAAUGGAUAUGCUCGCUGCGAGUUAGAAUUUCUUGAUCAAGCAUGCGUCAUUGGAGCCGAUUCAAACGUUGCUGUAUACUAUCACCUUCAGAAAAAAGAUUGCUAAUACUAUCAGACAUGCAUUUAAAAAUUCAGUUCAAAUAUCAUGUCUCCAUCUUAUGUUUGUUAGCUAUUUCCUUUCUAGCUAGGUCAUCAUCAGUUAAACUUUCAUGAAACUUAUUCUCAUUAAAUUAUCAAUGAUAACAUUGAAUUUCAACCCCCUUACCAAAACAAAAGUUUUGUUAUACAUUUCAUCGAAAUUGCCAUUGAGGUCACAUUACGUAUUGAGAUGUGAUACGAAAACACAUAUAACUUGUAGUUGAAAAAACAGCAAUCUCAUUCAUGUCUAGUCGAAGGUAAUAAUUUUCUGUUUUUACAUUGAAUAAUCAAAAUUGCUUUGCUCUAGAUGUGAUUGUUGGAGAAUGCGCAAUCUCACGUCUGCUACUUAAAAAAAAAAAAAAAAAAAAAUUACAACGUAUGGUCAAUGGUUUUACUAUUAAUUGUAUCGCGGUCUUUUGAGAUCAAAUCUAACACCUUGUUGGAAUGGGUAAAUAAUAAAAUUAGAAAUAUCAAUGUGAUUAGUAGUAGACCGUUGCUCCGACUGUGACAUGUUGAUAGUGAUUCCUUCAUCUGUAUAACACUCAACCCACAUUGACUUGAUUUUGGAAUUAGAUAUCUGUGAUCUAAACUGUUAUUGCAUGGUUUGACCAAGGAGCUAGAUUUAUUGUAAAAAAUAAACUAUCAUAGAAAAUCUGCAACAGUACGAGAAAUUUGUAAUGGAUAUUUUAGGUAGAGCAUCUUCAAUCAUUAUUAUUAUUUUCUAAUUUUAACAAAAAAAUUACUAGAGAAUUAGUUUAGAAAAUACUUUAAUAUUAACUAAAAAAGUAAAAGAAAUUAAAAGGGAGAAAAGGAGAAAAAAUUGGUUGUAAGGUCAUCUCCAACGGAAAUGUUAAAUAUAACUCCAUCCAAAAUUAUAGUCUUGUAAAAAAUUAUUUUUAAAUGAACAAUAUUAGGUCAUAUUCAUAUACCAUCUCCAAUUGAAAGAGCUAAACAUAGUCCCUCAAUAACUUAUUAGUUUUAAGUUUAUACUUUAAAUUUAUUGGCUACAUUUUGAUGUGUCAAAUCUAGCCGUUGAAUUUAAAUUAAAUGUUGCAACUAAGGAGUUGGGCCCCCAAAAAGAGGCUAAGAGCCUGAUGCUUUUUUGGCCAAAUAAUGACAUUGUGGGCUGCAUAUAAUUACAUAAUCAUCAGUUGAAGGUGAAUUUUUGGACAAAUUAAGCUUUUUUUUUACUUUUGAAUCUUUAGUCCUCUCCAUUGAAAAUGACCUAAGAAGCUAAAAAGAAGAAGACGGCAUAUGUAACACAAAAACUAAACUCCUUGGAACAGAUAAACCCCAUAUUACAAAAAAUAUAAAAAGAUCCAAUGAAAUAAAAGAUAAACGUAAUUUUUAACUAUCUUAAUAUGAUAGCACUUGACCUCUCAUAGCAAAUUUUAUGACUAGUACAACACUUGAACGACUUGCAUAGAGAAUAUAGUUGUAUUCAGUCAGUUUCGGAAAGGAUUAGCAGGUACGGGUAGAUUGUCACCCUCUCCUUCUAACAUUUGAAUAACAACUUUCAUGGAAGGGCGAUCUAUUGGGUGCCAUUGGACGCACCAUAGACCCACAAUAGCUAGCUUCUUUGCAGUUUCAGCAUCUCCUCCGUCCUCAAUGUGAAUCCGUAGGUCGUCCCCUUGUUCUAAAAGGUUAUAAAUCCAUUCUGGGAAGUAGACUUCGCUGCUGGUGGAGUCCUCUUCCAUGAACUUAAAGUUUUUUCUUCCCCCGACCAUUUCCAGCAGCAACAUUCCAAAGCUAUAGACAUCUGACUUGUAGGACACGUUUCCAAAGUUCCUAGAAAACACUUCGGGCGCAAUGUAGCCAAUGGUCCCUCUGAUGGUAGUCAUGGAUACUGCGCUUUGAUCUCUAGAGCACAACUUGGCGAGACCAAAAUCGGAAACUUUUGGGGUGAAAUUCUGGUCUAGCAAAAUGUUGUGUGGUUUGAUAUCGAAAUGGAGGAUUCGGAGGUCACACCCUUGAUGAAGAUAUUCAAUUCCUUUGGCUAUACCUAAAGCAAUCUCAUGCAACUUAUCCCAACCAAGGAAAGCGCUUUUACUAUCUGCUGAUGAUAAGAUAUUCUGUAGUGAACCAUGUGGUAGAUAUUCAUACACAAGAGCUGUUGUGUACCCAUCAGCACAAAAACCAACCAAGCGAACCACAUUGACAUGGUGGACUCGACCCAUUGUUCCGACUUCAUUUAUAAAAUCUUCUCCUUUUUCAUUAGAAUUGUUGAGGAUUUUCACAGCUACAAGUAAGUCG
rnacentral:lncRNA from 1 species